UACGUAGGUGGCAAGCGUUGUCCGGAUUUACUGGGCGUAAAGCGCGCGCAGGCGGACCGUUAAGUAGGAAGUGAAAGGUCGGAGCUCAACUCCAACAUUGCUUUCUAUACUGGCGGUCUUGAGUCACGGAGGGGAAAGCGGAACGACACGUGUAGCGGUGAAAUGCGUUGAUAUGUGUCGGAACACCAAUGGCGAAGGCAGCUUUCUGGACGAUGACUGACGCUCAGGCUCGAAAGCCAAGGUAGCGAACAGG
rnacentral:rRNA from 1 species